rnacentral:rRNA from 1 species
AUUGAACGCUGGCGGCAGGCUUAACACAUGCAAGUCGAGCGGAGACUUCGGUCUUAGCGGCGAACGGGUGAGGAAUGCCUGGGAAUCUGCCUGUUAGUGGGGGAUAACGUUCCGAAAGGAACGCUAAUACCGCAUACGUCCUACGGGAGAAAGCAGGGGACCUUCGGGCCUUGCGCUAACAGAUGAGCCCAGGUCGGAUUAGCUAGUUGGUGGGGUAAAGGCUCACCAAGGCGACGAUCCGUAGCUGGUCUGAGAGGAUGAUCAGCCACACUGGAACUGAGACACGGUCCAGACUCCUACGGGAGGCAGCAGUGGGGAAUAUUGGACAAUGGCGAAAGCCUGAUCCAGCCAUGCCGCGUGUGUGAAGAAGGCCUUC